UACGAAGGGUGCAAACGUUGCUCGGAAUUAUUGGGCGUAAAGCGCACGUAAGCGGCUUUGCAAGUCCGAUGUGAAAGCCCUCGGCUUAACCGAGGAAGUGCAUCGGAAACUGCAGAGCUUGAGUGCUUAAGAGGAUCGCGGAAUUCCCGGUGUAGAGGUGAAAUUCGUAGAUAUUGGGAAGAACACCAGUGGCGAAGGCGGCUCACUGGCCAGUUUCUGACGCUAAAGUGCGAAAGCGUGGGGAUCAAACAGG
rnacentral:rRNA from 1 species